rnacentral:misc_RNA from 1 species
UUCGGCUUUGAUCCCCAACGAUCUCCGACUUCAUUAGUUUCUAUUAUGAUGCCUUCUUAUUUCUGUUUGUUAUCUUUAGCUCACUAUUUAUUUUAAAUCUGGGUUAUUUUUCUAGGGGAUUUGGAAGGCAAUCCUUUUUUUUUUUAUUGGAGUUGGAUUUUAUGUUUUAUGGAUUUUAGUGUGAAUAAUGGAGGAUAUAGUUUGCAAUUUAGUUUUGGCAUUUGUUUGGUUACUGAGAAACCGUUGGAAUAUAGAAGGAAAUGAGAUACCAUAUGGGCUCUUUAACAUUGCUUUAAGUGAACCAAGUAGAGGGAUUGGGGUUUUUUCUUUCCUAGUAUUUUGUUGAAGGA